UAAAUACCUUUCCAGUCUCUCUAUUUGGCAAGCUAUUCUUCAGCUCCCCUCUUGUUCUCUGAGUCUUACAGAUGUAUUCCUUGAAGCCAGGGAGGGUCUCAGAAAAAAGAAAACACAAUAAAAGACUCCAGGUUGGAAGGACAAGUACCUUCAGGGGCCUGCAUAAGGAAGUUUGCAGCCUACGCUGAAGAAAAGCUAGAAUGAUGCUGGCAGCAGUGUUAUCUCUCACAGAGCACUGCAAAUCCAAGAAAAGAGGAAAUUGAAUCUGUUAAAACACACCACCUCCUCCAGUUCUCCAAGUGACCUCAGAGCUGGAAGAUGCUGUCCCUUGUUUUUGUGGAAAAGCAGACAUACGUCAACAUCUUAAUGCGAAAUGAAGGCGCUAAACAAGGUGUACAACAAGUUCUUCAAAAGGCACUCUCUGCAAAACAAAGACAGGAAUCCAAUAGAAGCCCAAAGGAGAAAGUUUUGCUUGGUAAAGAAUGACUAGCUCAUCUGGAGAAGAACAGGGAAAAAGACUGUUGGACAUCCACCAGUGGAUGUCUCAUGAGAACUGAUGGAUUCAGUCUAGCUACAAGAAAGUUUCUCUGCGGGUGCUAAGAAUCUGAAAGAAAAAGCCUGUUAAAACAAUGUGACCUGCCUGUUUUCUUCAUAAUUCUUCAUAUCCUUUCCUUCACAAACAGCAUGCUGCUUACCCCAUCUCCUCAGUCGCCCUGAAGUAUCAGGAGCAUGGGGAAGGGACCUUGCAGACACGCAGUCAUGAAAGCAAUGGUAGAAGCCUGUCUUUCCCUAUAUCUGCUCCACACUUCUUUCCCUAUGCUGUAUGAAGUAACAAAGUGCUUCUGUUUUCUUUGGAAAAUAUAUCUGAAGGCCAGAAAGGCACACUACAGUAUAAUUCCUUUGGAAUCUGGCUUAUCAGAAAAGCCCAAGCUGCAGGACACACACUUUGGUAUCAGUGUUAUUUGGUUCAGACUGUUAUUAUUUCAGUGAUACUAGAAAAGGUGGAAGUUCUUUAGCUUAUAGCAAUGGAUUUGGUUUCAGA
ensembl:lncRNA